GACGUAGGGCGCGAGCGUUGUCCGGAUUUAUUGGGCGUAAAGAGCUCGUAGGCGGCUUGUUGCGUCGGCUGUGAAAACCCAUGGCUCAACCGUGGGCUUGCAGCCGAUACGGGCAGGCUAGAGUUCGGUAGGGGAGACUGGAAUUCCUGGUGUAGCGGUGAAAUGCGCAGAUAUCGAGAGGAACACCUGCGGCGAAGGCGGGUUGCUGGGCCGACACUGACGCUGAUGCGCGAAAGCCAGGGGAGCGAACGGG
rnacentral:rRNA from 1 species